rnacentral:rRNA from 1 species
GUGGGGAAUCUUUCGCAAUGGGCGAAAGCCUGACGCAGCCAUGCCGCGUGAAUGAUGAAGGUCUUAGGAUUGUAAAAUUCUUUCACCGGGGACGAUAAUGACGGUACCCGGAGAAGAAGCUCCGGCUAACUUCGUGCCAGCAGCCGCGGUAAUACGAAGGGGGCUAGCGUUGCUCGGAAUUACUGGGCGUAAAGGGCGCGUAGGCGGACAGCUUAGUCAGAGGUGAAAGCCCAGGGCUCAACCUUGGAAUUGCCUUUGAUACUGGCUGUCUUGAGUGUGGGAGAGGUGAGUGGAACUCCGAGUGUAGAGGUGAAAUUCGUAGAUAUUCGGAAGAACACCAGUGGCGAAGGCGACUCACUGGCCCAAUACUGACGCUGAGGCGCGAAAGCGUGGGGAGCAAACAGGAUUAGAUACCCGUGUAGUCC